rnacentral:tRNA from 1 species
GGGGAUGGACUGUAGCUCAGUGGUACAGCAUCUGCUUUGAAUUCAGAAGGUCCCUGGUUCAAUCCCCAACAUCUCCA